rnacentral:rRNA from 1 species
GACGAACGCUGGCGGCGUGCUUAACACAUGCAAGUCGAACGGAAAGGCCCUGCUUUUGUGGGGUGCUCGAGUGGCGAACGGGUGAGUAACACGUGAGUAACCUGCCCUUGACUUUGGGAUAACUUCACGAAACUGGGGCUAAUACCGGAUAGGAGCUCCUGCUCCAUGGUGGGGGUUGGAAAGUUUCGGCGGUUGGGGAUGGACUCGCGGCUUAUCAGCUUGUUGGUGGGGUAGGUGCUUACCAAGGCUUUGACGGGUAGCCGGCCUGAGAGGGUGACCGGCCACAUUGGGACUGAGAUAGGGCCCAGACUCCUACGGGAGGCAGCAGUGGGGAAUAUUGCACAAUGGGCGGAAGCCUGAUGCAGCAACGCCGCGUGCGGGAUGACGGCCUUCGGGUUGUAAACCGCUUUCGCCUGUGACGAAGCGUGAGUGACGGUAAUGGGUAAAGAAGCACCGGCUAACUACGUG